AAACAGAUAAGUAUAAACUAAGGCUUGAAGAUGGUGAGGCAUUCACCAUGCAGUCAAAAGGGUAACCUAGUUUGAGGGAAGAGGAUGUAUAAAGGCAAGAAAUGAGCAACAGCAUGGCCCAGAGGGACUAGAGCUUAUAGGGGCUGGAGGGUGAGAGGGAAUGACAGCUGAUAAGACUAUAGACAAAGGCAGGGCUCUGAUAAGGAAAAGCCUCUCAUGGCAAGCUAAGGGGAGCUAUUGAAAUUCUUGGGGGUAAGCCAACUAUGUACGUUUCAUUUCAUUUCAUUAAUUAAGAUUUUAAUUAAACACUUAGGAUCUGAGGAGCAUACAAAUGAGUAAACUACAGUCUCUAUUUUCAGGAAGUUUAAGUAUAAUGACAAAUAUAGAUGUGUAAAUAAAUACUUAUAAUCUGGAGUUAGAAAGAGUAAGUGAAUUACAAGAAAUAUAAAAUGUACUACAAAGAAGUACAGGCCAGGUGCAGAAGCUCAUGCCUGUAGUCCCAGCACUUUGGGAGGCUGAGGUGGGAGGAUAGUUCAAGCCCAGGAGUUUGAGACCAGCCUAGGCAACAUAGUGAGACUUUGUCUCUAUUAAAACUAAAAAAAAAAAAAAAAGAAGAAAGAAAAAUUAGCCUGGCAUGCUCGUGUGUGCCUGUGGACCCAGCUACUCAGGAGGCUGAGGUGGGAGGAUCACUUGAGCCUGCAAGGUUGAGGCUGCAGUGAGCCAUGAUCACACCAACCUGUGCAACAUGUAAGACCCCAUCUCAAAAAUAAUAAUAAUAAAAAGAAGUACAGAGGCUAGAAUACAGCUUUAGUUUUAAGGGGGCACUGUAAGAUAAUCUGUAUUUUUCAAUUAAGGUGCUUAUAGAGUGAAUCAAGAAAAUCAGUUCAAGAGUGUCUCAUUUCCAACAAAAUUUGAUCAAAGAUAUGGCUAUAAUCUCAUAUUGUAGUGCAUGCUAGUUGUAUAAUUAAUGAAAUACUAACCAAAAAAUGAAAAAAUGAACCAAUCAUGGAAGGGAAAAUAAUAAAUACUUACAUAUAAAUAAUAAAUUAAAAAGGGGGAAAAAUACAAUUGCAGACCAUGAAUUUCUUUAAAAAAAUAAGGAAAAACAUCUCUUACCAUUUGUUUUCUGAAAUUGACCUUUCAAGGCAAAAAAUGAAGUUGUUUGCUCCUGGCCUAGUCUUUCCACUUCAGGGUCCCCAUUGUCAGCAACUUAAGACUGUCCCUAGUCAUCAGCCCCGGCCACCACCAGGAGUGGGGAGGUUGGAGGAAGAUUCAGAUGAUGCAGAAUGCUAAAGUGUCAGGGGAUACUUGAGCAGGGGAUAAAGCAAACUUUGGGAAAGAAGUAUAAAAUAAAUAUUAAUCCAUUUUUUAUGUUAAAACCCAGUUAUCUUUUUUUUUCUCUGAAUUUGAAGGAGUUCUUUGACCUAUUCUGAAUGGAGUGUCCAACACCAUUAUUGUGGGUGAUUGAGACUCAUCCGUAUGAACUAUUCACCUUCGUACCUCCCGUUUACAACUCAGCAUUGCUGGAAGAGCUGAACAGCCGCAUGGAUCAUUUUUCAAUUAUAGAAAAACAAAUUCUAAGCCUGAGAGAAAAAGUGCAUGAGAAAGAAAGGGAGGAAUAUAGCUGCUAGCAGACAAGACAUAUACUUCCCAGCUCCACCACUGUGACUCUUUUAAUUCAAAGAGAUUUUUCAAUUUUCCAGUGAGAUUCUGGCCUCAAUUCCUGUCCUAGGCUCAGAAAAAGCACAAUAGUUUCUUUAUACAUCUUUUCUUUUAAAAAGCUCCCUGGAAAAUAUUGUAAAUAUGCUACUAUAUUGAGGUUUGAUAAUAAAGGGAAAAAUUUUGCUCUUUA
rnacentral:lncRNA from 1 species